GAAAAUGUUGGGGGUGCUAUAUUCUGACCUCAAAACAGGAAAGUAAAAAUGUAUAUACAUCAGUUCUCAUCGCAAUAAGUCAAUUCAAAGACAAUGACUUGCAUCAAAAAUGGUGAUUAAUAAGCUGAAUACAAAUGCCACAUUUAGCAUUAACAAAAUGGUGCUAUUUGAAAUACCUAACCAAACAUAUCUAUUUUUCAUUUUUACAGAUUUAGUCAAAACAUGGUGCAUCAGAUAACUGACCGUAUACAAUACAAUACAAUUCAAUACAAUACCAUAGACAGGGUGAACAAGGGUGAACAGGUGUAAAAAGUGGUACAAGAAGAACAGUCCAGUUAUAAUACAUAGCUCAGAUAUUUAGUGAUUGACCGAUAAUCGGUAUCGGCAUCGGGCCGAUUUUUGCCUUAUCGGUAGACAAUCGGAAUCGUUAGAAUUAUCUAUAUUUGCGAUUGUCUAAAACCGAUUGUUGAGAAAAUAGACACUUUAAAAAUUAUAUAUGCAUUUAAUAGUUUUGUUUGUGGAAACACCACGUAAAUUUAUUACUGCAUAGCUUUCGAUCCGUAAGCCCGGAUCUUCAUCAGUGCUAAUAAGGGGCCGACCAUUUAACUUUUGAGGUGGGGGUGGGGGUGAUUUUGAAAAUAAAUUUCCUGCAAGGCUAUUCUGAACAAAAAAAAAUACCUGCAGUAACAAACUGAGGGGAAAAUAUCCUGCCCCAUUAUUUGGUGGGAAAAAAAAUGUUGCAAAACAGCAUGGUUGCAGGGAUUGAUUUGACCAGUCAUAGAAGAUCAGCUGGUUUGAUUUUCAGGGACUAGUGUAAAGUUAAUUUCUUGUUGGGAAACUCCUCAAAGUGCUGGAAAUAGCUUAUCUGAGCUUCAAGAAAUCCAAAAUUUUCUGGGUGGGGCAUGCCCCCAGACCCCUCUACAGGCUCCCACCUA